GAUCCUACGGGGGGCAGCAGUAGGGAAUCUUCCACAAUGGGCGAAAGCCUGAUGGAGCAACGCCGCGUGGGUGAAGAAGGUCUUCGGAUCGUAAAACCCUGUUGUUAGAGAAGAAAGCGCGUGAGAGUAAAUGUUCACGUUUCGACGGUAUCUAACCAGAAAGACACGGCUAACUACGUGCCAGCAGACGCGGUAAUACGUAGGUGGAAAGCGUUAUCCGGAUUUAUUGGGCGUAAAGGGAACGCAGGCGGUCUUUUAAGUCUGAUGGGAAAG
rnacentral:rRNA from 1 species